rnacentral:rRNA from 1 species
UGAGGAAUAUUGGUCAAUGGACGAGAGUCUGAACCAGCCAAGUAGCGUGCAGGAUGACGGCCCUAUGGGUUGUAAACUGCUUUUGUUUGGGAAUAAUCGACAUUACGUGUAAUGUUUUGCAUGUACCAUUCGAAUAAGGACCGGCUAAUUCCGUGCCAGCAGCCGCGGUAAUACGGAAGGUCCGGGCGUUAUCCGGAUUUAUUGGGUUUAAAGGGAGCGUAGGCCGUAGAUUAAGUGUGUUGUGAAAUGUAGACGCUCAACGUCUGACUUGCAGCGCAUACUGGUUUACUUGAGUUUGCACAACGUUGGCGGAAUUCGUCGUGUAGCGGUGAAAUGCUUAGAUAUGACGAAGAACUACGAUUGCGAAGGCAGCUUGCGGGAGCAAAACUGACGCUGAAGCUCGAAAGUGCGGGUAUCGAACAGG